rnacentral:rRNA from 1 species
CGCGUAGGUGGUAGUGUAAGUCUGGGGUGGAAUGCCGGGGCUUAACCCUGGAAUUGCCUUGGAAACUGCAUUACUUGAGUCAGUGAGGGGAGGGUAGAAUUCCUGGUGUAGCGGUGAAAUGCGUAGAUAUCAGGAGGAAGGCCUGUGGCGAAGGCGGCCCUCUGGUGCUGGACUGACACUGAGGCGCGAAAGCGUGGGGAGCAAACAGGAUUAGAUACCCUGGUAGUCCACGCCCUAAGCGGUGGGCACUAGGUGUAGGGCUCGUAAGGGUUCUGUGCCGAAGGGAAACCAUUAAGUGCCCCGCCUGGGGAGUACGGCCGCAAGGUUGAA